UCGUGGGGAGGUUUUUCCUUUUCUAUAGUUCAGAUACCACAUUAAACAUUCCGCCUGGGUAGUACUGUCGCAAAGUUUAAAAGUCCAAGGACUAGACGGGGGCGCGCACAAUUUGUUUAGCAUCUGUUUAAUUCGAAGAUACGUGAAGAACCUUCCAAGCCUGACAUAUGAUAGAUCUGUGCAGUGAUGCAGUGGGACAUUCGGGAGCCUUUAUACAGGUGCUGCACGGCUGUCGUCAGCUCGUGUCGUGUGAUGCUGGGAUAAGUCCCGCAACGAGUGCAACCCUUGUUCUUAGUUGUUAAAGGUUCGGCCGAGGACUCUAAGAAGACUGCGUUAGUAAGGAGGAGGAAGGUGAGGAAUCCGUCACGUCAUCACCACCCUCACGGCUACGGCAACACUCGUAAAACGACGGCCAGGACAAUGAGACGCAAUACCGCGAGGUGGAGCAAAUCUAUAAACCUGGUCUCAGUUCGGAUUGUAGUCUGCAACUCGACUACAUGAAGCUGGAAUCACUAGUAAUCGUAGAUCAGCUAUGCUACGGUGAAUACGUUCCCGGGUCUUGUACUCACCGCCCGUCACACCAUGGGAGUUGAUUUCACCCGAAGCGGGGAAGCUAAACUGGCUACCCUCCACGGUGGAAUUAGCGACUGGGGUGAAGUGGUAACAAGGUAACCAAGGGCGAA
rnacentral:rRNA from 1 species